AGCAUUAAAAACCUAGUUAAAGGUGUUAUUUUGCUGUCCGUUCGUUUUGUAUUCUGUCUAAUAUUCUUUACUGCUAUCUUUUCAGCUGAUCUUCGUUAAUUAAUAUCCACGAAACUAAAAAACAUGAAUUUUAUGAGAAUACUUGUGAAGAACUUGCCCCAAAAGGCAAUUGGCUCGCAAAUAAGACAUGGAUCUGUAGUGUCUGCUCCUCCACACUACAGGAUGUCCAUGGCUGCAAAAAUUACCCAUGGAAUAAUAUUUUUCGUCGCUGUAUCGGCCUAUCCCGCUUGGGUCACUUUAAAUAUUAAAAAUUAUCGAGCACAGCAACAGUAAAUGUAAAGUUAUUGUAAUUUCAUUCCUAAUUGUAGAAAAGUUAGAAAAUAAAUAAAUGUCAUUAUUUAAUCGUA